rnacentral:lncRNA from 1 species
GUGAUGAGAACAGCAGUACCCUGAGGUCUCUGUAUUACCCCCCGGUGAGGAGUGACAGGGUGAAGGAGGGCAAGGAGAACACUGACUACAGCAGCAUCACCCUGGUCUUUCAGAGCCAAGAGGGUGGCCUGCAGGUAAACAAGACACCACUGAAUCCUCUGGUCUUCUAGAACCAAGAGGGUGGCCUGCAGGUAAACAAGACACCACUGAAUCCUCUGGUCUUCUAGAACCAAGAGGGUGGCCUGCAGGUAAACAAGACACCACUGAAUCCUCUGGUCUUCUAGAACCAAGAAGGUGGCCUGCAGGUAAACAAGACACCACUGAAUCCUUUGGUCUUCUAGAACCAAGAGGGUGGCCUGCAGGUAAACAAGACACCACUGAAUCCUCUGGUCUUCUAGAACCAAGAGGGUGACCUGCAGGUUAACAAGACACCACUGAAUCCUCUGGUCUUCUAGAACCAAGAGGGUGGCCUGCAGGUAAACAAGACACCACUGAAUUCUCUGCAGCUUCUAUUAGGG